ensembl:lncRNA
CCGGGCCCGACGCACGGCGGGGGCUUCUGGCGCAGCCGCAUAGGGAGUCUACACUCGAUGCCCUUACAGUCCCUCUGCGUGGCCGCCUCCGUCCUGCUGGAGGAGAUCCCGCUCUGGCACUUCCCACCAUGGCAGUCCGGGUGGAACACCUCCGCCGUGAGGGUCCGCGGGUUGGUGGUCCUCGUGCCCUCCGUGUCCUCCCCCCGCGGGUGUGUGAACCCCGCGGUGUAGGGCCUGGACGGCGCGCUGUGCACCUGGCGGUGGAGGGUCUGAGCGUUCACCUGCUGGUACCCGGGGAAGACCUGCGGUGGCCUGGCUUGUACCGGCGGACUGACGUGUCGCCGCGGGGUAGAUGCCUGCCCCCCCCCGAACAGUACUCUCCAACGCACGGUUGGCUCCAGUCCUGAGCUUCUGGGAAGCAGUGGGACCCCCUGCAAAUCUGAGCAACACUUUGUCCUCUGCCAAAUAAAUAUGUGAAGCAUAGUAAAGAUAUUCCGGUGAGGAACGCCAUGUUUCUGGAAGAGUGGAGAACCUGCACAACGGAAUAGUGAUGAAAAAAGAGUCCAGGAAGCCUCAAUCACGCAUCCUGAGUCCCUUUUGAAUGAUCAGAUAUUGAGGAACUAUUGGAGGAAAACUCGAAAAUAAAUAAUAGAGCUUAGUCCCCCGUCUCCACCCGUAUAGUGUUUCUCAGACAAGUCGACCUUGUGUGUCCGCUGGAGAGCAGUGGGGCCCGGGUAGCGCUGGAUAGAAGGUCCGUCUGGGGGAGCGGCAGAGAGAGGGUCCGUGUAGCCCAAUGUGCAGCCUCAGGCCCGGGGAGGAGGGAUGGAGAGGAGAGCUCCGUCUACAUGUGGCGCUCCGCGGCUCUAAUCAUCAACAGAUGGACGAGAUAGACAGCAUGUUCAUCAACCUCCUGGGAGAGAUAGAUGUUCUCAAAGAGAGUCUGGAGACGCCGGAAACUUCUCAACUAGAACGGGACUCAGAGACAGACCACUUCUCCUUUGGCUUCUCAAACCUAAGAGAGUCUCUGAACCAGCUGGAAGAGCAGGACCUGGACAACCUAGUGGCGAACCUGAGCCUGGAUCGGAC